CAAAACAACCAAUUUAAUAUGAAAAAGGAAAUAUUUGCUGAUAUAAUGCGGGAAAUUACGGAAAACACGCAUCAACGUCGUCGUGAAAUCGUCAUCUGCCAAGAGGUUCUCGUCGAUCAGGUUUGCAGCAGUCGAUCUUUUCAAAAAUUGUAUCGAAAGGUGUCAUCAUGAUAGGAGAAAGGAAACAAGAUUUAUAUAUUGCUUUGAAAGAAGAAAGUAAGGUUC